rnacentral:tRNA from 1 species
GGCUUCGUAACUCAGUUGGCUAGAGCGUUGGCUGUGCUAAAGCCUUCCCCUUGCUGGCGUGGGUUCGAAUCCCACUGAGGCCA